UACGAAGGGGGCUAGCGUUGCUCGGAAUCACUGGGCGUAAAGCGCACGUAGGCGGAUUGUUAAGUCAGGGGUGAAAUCCUGGAGCUCAACUCCAGAACUGCCUUUGAUACUGGCGAUCUUGAGUCCGGGAGAGGUGAGUGGAACUGCGAGUGUAGAGGUGAAAUUCGUAGAUAUUCGCAAGAACACCAGUGGCGAAGGCGACUUACUGGACACAUAUUGACGCUGAGGUGCGAAAGCGUGGGGAGCAAACAGG
rnacentral:rRNA from 1 species